ACCUACCACAAUGCCACCACCUCCCGCCCACCUCUGAGCUGUCCGAGUUACUGUAUCGUCGUUGAAUUUUCCUCAGUUAUCCAAAGAAAAUUGAUAGUUUCUAAAGUAUCAUCCGUUGUUCUUAUUUGCAUAAUGUUUGGUGGAGAAAAUAAAAAUCGUUUGUGACGCUGCGCCCUGGAUGUGAGUGAUCAUUCUGCUGGUAAUAUUUCCUCUAUCUCCUGCCUGAGGAAACCUGCCACAUCCUCCUCAGGUGUUGUCUGACGGCCUCCUCUGGUGUCGUCCUCUGGUGUCGUUCUCUGGUGUCGUCCUCUCACUCCAGAGAUGUCAUUGUGGUGACCUUCCCAAUGUUUUUGUCCCACGUGACUUUUUUCUGGUAAUAGACGUUAAACUAAGAGUGUUUGUGUGUCUCGGCCACCUGCCCGUGGGAGAGGAGGUAUGUUAGCGCAUCACUGAUAUUGGUUCCCAGGGGCCGAAUACUGUAUCUCCCAGUUCACUGUGUAAGCCGACUAUCUGUAGUGAUACUCAAAACAUCCGCUAUCUUGUGACGUAAUAUUGUAUCAAAUGCCAUAACUUUACAGGACCUUCUGAGUUCCUGUAUAUUUCCAGAUUACAUAAACAGUAUAUACCU